UUGAAGUUUCUGGUAGACGCCACGCAUGAACACAAUCCUCGUUUCUUCGUUUCUUCUUUCUUCUCUUCUUUCACUCUUAUAAAUACCACACACCAUUCUCUUCCUCCAAAACACAUUUUCUCAGAUACCCUUUUAUUUUCUCAACUUUUCCACAGUUUUCUCGCUUCAUUUUCCCGGAAAAAAAAAAAUGAAAACUCUGAACUUUGUCGCCUUUCCACUUCUCACUUUGUUGUUCAUCGCAAUCUCUCAUUUGGGUCACGCCCAGGAUUUGCCUUCUCCAGCACCUUCUCCUACCAGUGAUGGCACCACAAUUGAUCAAGGAAUUGCUUACAUUCUUAUGCUGGUGGCUCUGGGCAUCACAUACAUGAUUCAUUGAUUUUUCUUUGUUUUUUUUUUCUCUUACUGUUAUGGUGGCCAUAUCAGAGAAAAAUUCAGAAUUUUUGUGCUGUAAUUAUUACCAUUGUUGAUGAAAUUCAAUAUUAUUCCUUCUAUUACAUUC